AUUGAACGCUGGCGGCAUGCCUUACACAUGCAAGUCGAACGGUAACAGGUCUUCGGAUGCUGACGAGUGGCGAACGGGUGAGUAAUACAUCGGAACGUGCCUAGUAGUGGGGGAUAACUACUCGAAAGAGUGGCUAAUACCGCAUGAGAUCUACGGAUGAAAGCAGGGGAUCGCAAGACCUUGUGCUACUAGAGCGGCCGAUGGCAGAUUAGGUAGUUGGUGGGAUAAAAGCUUACCAAGCCGACGAUCUGUAGCUGGUCUGAGAGGACGAUCAGACACACUGGGACUGAGACACGGCCCAGACUCCUACGGGAGGCAGCAGUGGGGAAUUUUGGACAAUGGGCGCAAGCCUGAUCAAGCAAUGCCGCGUGCAGGAUGAAGGCCUGCGGGUUGUAAACUGCUUUUGUACGGAACGAAAAGCCCUGGGUUAAUACCCUGGGGUCAUGACGGUACCGUAAGAAUAAGCACCGGCUAACUACGUGCCAGCAGCCGCAGUAA
rnacentral:rRNA from 1 species